rnacentral:rRNA from 1 species
CCUACGGGUGGCAGCAGUGAGGAAUAUUGGUCAAUGGUCGCGAGCCUGAACCAGCCAAGUCGCGUGAGGGAUGACUGUCCUACGGGUUGUAAACUUCUUUUAUCAAGGAAUAAAGUGAGGCACGUGUGCCUUUUUGUAUGUACUUUAUGAAUAAGGAUCGGCUAACUCCGUGCCAGCAGCCGCGGUAAUACGGAGGAUCCGAGCGUUAUCCGGAUUUAUUGGGUUUAAAGGGAGCGUAGAUGGGUUGUUAAGUCAGUUGUGAAAGUUUGCGGCUCAACCGUAAAAUUGCAAUUGAAACUGGCAGCCUUGAGUACAGUUGAGGUAGGCGGAAUGCGUGGUGUAGCGGUGAAAUGCUUAGAUAUCACGAAGAACUCCGAUUGCGAAGGCAGCUUACUAACCUGCCACUGACAUUGAUGCUCGAAAGCGUGGGUAUCAAACAGGAUUAGAUACCCGAGUAGUC